rnacentral:sRNA from 1 species
AUUAAGCAGACCAAUUAAGGAGCUCCUGCUGGAAUCAAAAUAAGAGGUACCAAAGAUAAUACUAAGAGAUGUAAUCUCAGAGAAAAAAUUUCCAAAUACAUGGACAGAGCGGAAAACAUAAAGAAGUACUUGGACCAAGAAAAAGAAGAAGCUAAAGAAACUCCUGGGCUUUCUCUCAGAUUUUGUUGUGAAUCAAAACACCUCAGGAGUUAAGCAUUCCUAAUGAUUAGAGGUCAGAUGGAAAAUAUCACAAGCAAAUUAAAAUAGAAGAGAAUGCAACAGGUUUCAGUUAUGAGUCACUUUUUCGCGAAUACCUUCAUGAGACAGUUACAGAAGUUUGGAUAGAAGAUCCUUAUAUUAGACAUACUCAUCAGGUAUGUGAACAUACUAAAAUAUAAUGAAAUAUCAUAUUGAAUGUACUAAAUUAGUAAUAAUCCAUUCUAAUGUCUUUUAGCUGUAUAACUUUCUUCGAUUUUGUGAGAUGCUUAUUAAGAGACCGUGUAAAGUAAAAACUAUUCACCUUCUCACCUCUCUGGAUGAAGGCAUUGAGCAAGCGCAGCAAAGUAGAGGCCUGCAAGAAAUAGAAGAGUCACUCAGGAGUCACGGAGUGCUGUUGGAAGUUCAAUACUCUUCUUCAAUACAUGACCGAGAAAUUAGGU